AUGAACUUUCCGUAGCCACUACCAUGUUACAAAUACCAUUAGUUAAUUCAUAAGUGCCUGGCGUCUGUAAGAUGAACCAAUAAUAGAAUAAAAGAAGUGUUACUAUUGCAUCCUUACCUAUUUAACCCUCAAAUCAACAACUUGAAGUUUCGAGUUAAUUUCUCUAACAUGCCCAGGCUGAGCAACCAUCGUAUAAACUUUUCCCUCAUGUGGAUGAAAAAGCCCAGGUUUUCGACACUUGACUAUAGUUUGUAGUCCCUCAGGAUCUAAUAAACGGAAGAUGCCAGAGCUAAAAGUCGUUAAUAUAUGUAGAAAAAAAAAUUUUUUUCUUACGUAUUUUUGGAAGGAGCCAUAACAAUUGCAAUAGCUUCAGGUAGCAUAAGCUGGUAUGAACAAUGAGUAUGCAAAUCCACGCUACUCAUAAAGCACGUCUGGGUCGGAUGAGUAUGAAUCCAUCCAAGAGUUAAGAGAUUAUGCUUAUCCUGAAAUUCAAAUAAAGAUGCCUCAUCCGUUGUUCCACAAGUGUCACUAGUAGCUUCUUGAAGGGGUAUAACGAGAUGAGUAAUGAAAAAGGCAUUCUGUCUUAGCUUUCCACAUAAAAUUCCACAUGUUUCAAGAUUUUUUUUAGUAUUGGGCUUAACAACGUCAAGAAAAACCUUCUUUAAUAAUUUCGGUAAAUAUAUAGUUCUCAACGGCUUUCCACCUUCUGUAUAUGCAUGAAUUUUAAAAGUUCCUGCUGGUUUGGGACGCGGUUCGGAAGUUCGUGUAUAUAUUGGCUUUUUUAUAAACUGAAUGUCUUUAUUAUCGUCUAACGGUUCAGGAGAGACCAAUUUUGAGUCAGAUAAAGAUGUUUUCUCGAAACGAGAGCUGGAUAUAGGUAAAUUAGAAUUGAAAGUAGGAGAUGAAUUUAAAGAUGGGUAAUCAAACUGAGGAAGAUCUGAUGAAGAUUUGCUUAAUUUCUGGGAAUCGGGGGAAAGUAAAUCAGUUGAGGAGGGAGGGAGAAUUUGUAAAUCGGAUAAUGCCCAUUGCUCAAGAAUAGGUUCAUCGACAUAAGAAACAGGCUUCUCCAAAGAUGGCUGAGAAUCUUUCAUCGACAACUUUUUUAAAUCAUCCAAAUCAUUCUUCUGACAUUGAUAUUGCUCAUAUUGCUCCUUUACAAUUGGUUUGAUUAAUUCAAUUUCCUCUAACGCGUUGCGGACACCCUAUUACAUUGUUAGUAAGUUUUUAUAAAAAUUCAGCUAAAGAAAAACAAUCCCAUUCAAAAUUGUACAGGGUAAAUAUCUGGAUGCAAAUGUGCAUAUUCCUAGUGCAUGACUAUAUUACAUCAACGAACCUGAUAAUAAUCAAAAAGCUCUUUCUUAUAUGCUGCAGCAUCAGGGUGCUUUUGGCAUUUCAUGAACAAUUCACAAUAGCGAAACAAAAGAAAUACACCGUUGGAAUAAUCAUGUUCCGAUACAUAAACAUGGGCCUAAUUUAUAAAAGCGUUAGCAUAAAAUAGUAAUUAAGUGUAAAUGCUGCUAUAACCGACAUACUUGCUUUGAUAUUGUCGUGGAUGUUCGUAACCAAUUUUUUAAAGGGAUAUUUUUAUUAAAAUCGAAUGCUCCGGCUCUUGAAGCAAUCUCUUCAUAAGAUAAUGGUGCUUCAGAUCCUUGGAGAAUGUUCAUACUUGAACUAAUAAGGAAACUGCAAAAUCCGAGCAAUUGCUGUUAAAAGCAGGUAGAGCUAACCUUUGUAUUAAACGAAAGCUGCUGAGCUAAAUUGGUAGACUGCUGGUGGAAGAUCACUAGGUGUCACAAGUAACGUGGUAGAUCACUUACUUACCGAUGCUUUACAUAAUAUUACUCUAUUUUGUAAAUAGUGAUGGUUCGCAACUGUUAUUUACUGAUACCACGUUAUCUACGUUGGGUUGGAAUUUCAAUCCUUUUGAUAAAAAAAAAGUUGAUUUGUUUUGUUAAGUGGUAUAAAUAAUAAAUCGGUACUUGGUGAUUAGUUGCAUAUUUAACUGACAUAUUGAAUCAUAUACGUUUUUACGGUUAAACAAUCAUCAACAAUUAUAUGGUAUUCAUCUACAAGAGUUAAUGACUUCUUUAUUUGAACUCAGCACAUGAAUUAAUACAGCACCAAGUGCUAGUGAAUGUAGGUAAUAAGACAUUGUAAUCUUAAAGAAUGCACAUUAAUAGGACAGAAAGGAAAUUAAGGUAGGAUUUACUAAUAUUGAAAAAGUUGAUAUAUUUCAUAAUGUAGUAUUAUCUACGAGAGGUGAAAAAUGGGCUAUAAUCAUGUUUAACAAUAUAUAAAGACACUAUUUUUAAAAAGAAAAUUAUAUUUUGAGAUUACAAGAGUAUCUCAAGGAAAUGCUAUGUAUGCCCCGAAGAAGUGGUCUUCUUCUUGUUCUUUUUCGUUUUCUUGCGAUCACGCUUUUUGAGUCCUACAAUCUGACCUUUACAAACUUCUGCAUAAGAUUGGAAGAAAUCUGUAAAAUAAUCAAGUUCAACAACAGUAGAGAUUUUUUCAGCUGCACCACUCUUAGCACGGAUUAAAACUGAAGCAGAGCUGCCUUCUCCUUCAUCCACUGGGUCUUUUAAAUUAGUAAUCGUCUUUAAAAUCUUUUAAAGCACAUACUGCAUUUUUGAGAGAGAUAGACGCUACCAGUUCCUUUACUUUGAUGGGUUUGUAGAAGAUCGGUGAGUUUCUUUAAAAACUAUUUAAUUAAGUUAGCUCGAGGAAUUUCCAAAGAAUAUAUUCUUACCUCUUCAUUGCUCAACAACAUUAGGAAAAAUCAGCCUUCCUGAGACGUAUAAGCUGACUAGCCAGAGAAAACGAAUGAGAUGGGUUUUCUAUCUGUAGAAAAAAGACACAUCCUUCGUUUUGAAAUUCGCUAAAAGCAAUAACGAAUUUAGGAAGCAACUCGUUAUUAUUAGUAACCAGGUUUCCUAAUUUUUUUAACAAAAACAGGCAUUGAAAUACUUCUUGUACGAAAUUGUAAACUUGACUAAACAGAAGUAAGUUUUUCUUAAUUUUUUACUAUUUUCUAGCUUUUAAAACAUAUUUAUAGCAGCAAACAACCAGAAAGAUCUUCGUCCUCACUCUAUUUGUAGUUAAGCGAGCCCUCAUUUAUGACGUGAUAAUAGCAGCUAAAUAUUGAGGUAUUAUUAGACAAGUGAUAAUGUUUAUCAAUGUUACGAGGAACUUAAAGAAAAAAGUGGUAUUCUACUCUUUAAUAUAUCAUUAUUAUUAAUAAAGAUUUAUAAAUUCAGGUGAAAAAGGUUUUAAGUAUUCUAUCGUUACGAAUGAACCGUAUUACUAAAAUUUUUGCCCAUAUUUACUCUUUAGUUUAACUGAUAUACUAAAAUAGAGAAAAGGCUCGAUCAGAAUACCCGUAAUAAAAAAAAAAGAAUAUGCUUUAAUUUAUUAUUACUUAAAUAACUUUAAGCUAAGUAGCUCAGGAAAGGGCAUUUGAGAAGAUCACAAUAUUUAUCUCAGGUAAGCAAAAGCAAAGAAAUGAGAAAUUCUGAGAUUGCUGUCCAAUCAUCUUAGUAAUGCACAUUGUAUAAUAUAAGUUUUUGAAAUUUACUCACAGGGAAGAACAUCAGAUGAAAAGAAAAGCGUAACAAAGAGACAUUAAAAACAAGAACAAAAUCCUCACGAAAUAUAACACAUAAACAUCCAUUUCAAAUACGCACAUUUAAUAAAAAAUCAAACAGACUCAUUGUUUAACAGUUUUCAAAGAUAAAGCAUGAAAUUAACAAUAAGGAGACCGGUUGAAUAGAAGGGAAACACUGACCAAAUAAUAGCACAAGCACAACUAAACGCUUAACGAUUAAAAAAAUAUCCCUUUAGCCGAUUUGGGAUGGAGAAGGAAUUCAAGAAACCGGGAUAAUAAA
rnacentral:lncRNA from 1 species